rnacentral:rRNA from 1 species
CCUACGGGAGGCAGCAGUGAGGAAUAUUGGUCAAUGGACGAGAGUCUGAACCAGCCAAGUAGCGUGAAGGAUGACUGCCCUAUGGGUUGUAAACUUCUUUUAUAUGGGAAUAAAAUGUUCCACGUGUGGGAUUUUGUAUGUACCAUAUGAAAAAGGAUCGGCUAACUCCGUUCCAGCAGCCGCGGUAAUACGGAGGAUCCGAGCGUUAUCCGGAUUUAUUGGGUUUAAAGGGAGCGUAGGUGGAUUGUUAAGUCAGUUGUGAAAGUUUGCGGCUCAACCGUAAAAUGGCAUUUGAAACUGGCAGUCUUGAGUACAGUAGAGGUGGGCGGAAUUCGAGGUGUAGCGGUGAAAUGCUUAGAUAUAACGAAGAACUCCGAUUGCGAAGGCAGUUCACUGGACUGCAACUGACACUGAGGCUCGAAAGUGUGGGUAUCAAACAGGAUUAGAUACCCCAGUAGUC